rnacentral:rRNA from 1 species
AAAUUGAAGAGUUUGAUCAUGGCUCAGAUUGAACGCUGGCGGCAGGCCUAACACAUGCAAGUCGAACGGUAACAGGAAGAAGCUUGCUUCUUUGCUGACGAGUGGCGGACGGGUGAGUAAUGUCUGGGAAACUGCCUGAUGGAGGGGGAUAACUACUGGAAACGGUAGCUAAUACCGCAUAACGUCGCAAGACCAAAGAGGGGGAUCUUCGGGCCUCUUGCCAUCGGAUGUGCCCAGAUGGGAUUAGCUAGUAGGUGGGGUAACGGCUCACC